GUUCUUGAUGCGCAAUUUCGUCCUCAGGUUGAUUCACUAAUUGAGUAUCUAAAGGUCCAGAGUGAUUACAAAGUAAUAAAUUUGGACCAGUGGAACAACUUUCUACGUUUUUUCCAAGAGAUUAGCUUUCCCGAUCUUGGAAAUUACGACUCAGGCCUAGCUUGGCCUUUGAUUCUCGACAAUUUUGUAGAAUGGAUGAAAGAAAAGCAGAAUAGCUAGAGUUUCC